rnacentral:rRNA from 1 species
ACUACGGGUGGCAGCAGUGAGGAAUAUUGGUCAAUGGGCUUAAGCCUGAACCAGCCAAGUCGCGUGAGGGAAGACUGCCCUAUGGGUUGUAAACCUCUUUUGUCAGGGAGCAAAACCAGCUACGUGUAGCCGGCCUGAGAGUACCUGAAGAAAAAGCAUCGGCUAACUCCUGGCCAGCAGCCGCGGUAAUACGGGGGCUCCGAGCGUUAUCCGGAUUUAUUGGGUUUAAAGGGAGCGGGGGUGGAGUGUUAAUCUAGUUGGGAAAGGUGGCGGCCUAACCGUAAAAUUGCAGUUGAAACUGGCAGUCUUGAGUAGAGGAGAGGUGUGCGGAAUUCGUGGUGUAGCGGUGAAAUGCUUAGAUAUUACGAAGAACUCCGAUUGCGAAGGCAGCUCACCGG